rnacentral:misc_RNA from 1 species
AAAAUUCUCUCUAAGCAACGCCCAAUCCAAAAUCCAGCAAAUGACGACCUCCGUCAAGAACAACUUCUUCCCUCCAUCUCUCAUCUCUAAUAUCCAGCAAGUUCUCAUCAACCGAAGCGACGUCGAUGUCGACGCCGCCGGCGUAGAACAAACUUCUGCUAAGGAUAAUGAUCCGAUUCAAGUUGUUGCUUCUGCUACAUCUUCUGCUGAAAGAAGCACUGUCCACGGCAAUGUAUGCGAAGAUUCUGAAAAGGAAAUUCUUUUGGUUACAAAUGGAGAGGGAAUAGAUUCCCAUGGCCUCACUUCCCUCCUCGAAGCUCUUGUUCGUGAUUCCCGUUUUAAUGUUCACGUCUGCGCUCCUCAAUCGGACAGAUCCGUAUCUGGUCACUCAGUGACGGUUAGGGAGACUCUUGCUGCUUGUUCUGUUGAUAUUAACGGCGUCACUGCUGCCUAUGAAGUUUCUGGGACACCCGCGGAUUGCGUUUCUUUAGCUUUAUCGGGGGCAUUGUUUUCUUGGUCUAAGCCUGUCCUGGUAAUCAGUGGAAUAAACAGAGGAUCAAGUUGUGGCCAUAACAUGUUCUACUCGGGUGCUGUUGCUGCUGCUAGAGAGGCAUUGAUUUGUGGUGUACCCGCUCUUUGCUUAUCAUUGAACUGGAAGAAUGGAGUAAGCUCGGAAAAUGACUUGAAGGACGCAGCCAGUGUUUGUUUACCAUUAUUGUAUGCUGCCAUUAGAGACGUCAGGAAGGAAAAGUUUCCCAAAAGUUGCUUAUUAAACGUAGAAAUUCCUACUUGUCCCAUUGCAAACAAGGGCUUCAAAGUAACCAGACAGAGUCUAUGGAGAUCCUCUUUGAGCUGGCAAGCAGUGCCAGCCAACAAGCAUCCGUCUGCCGGCCAUUUCUUGUCCAAUCAACAGAGCCUUGGUAUGAAGCUUGCACAACUCAGCCGAGAUGCCUCCGCAGCUGGUGCAGCUCGCCGCCUGAACUCACGUAGGAAGAAUGUUGAGAUUGAAUCUGUUGGGGUUGCGGGAAAAGUUACUUCCCCACAAACAGUGAAGAAAUACUUCCGUUUAGAGGUAUACGCAAACGAUGUUAGCUGGGUAAAGCUAAGCGAAACUGGAAGUGAAGAAAAAAAAAAGGCAUACUUUUUCAGAAAUUUUAGUUGAAAGAUCUCUCCAUUUUGCUCCGUACUUGUUAAAUAAUAUAGAAAUACAUGAAAAUAUCAGAAAUAGAUAUCAUCUGUGAUCUCUGCGUUAAUUGUUAAACAAUCACUUAUCUGAUGUUGCAUUCACAUGUGCAGUUCUCAGAAAAGGAGGAGGAAAAUGUUGAAGAGGAUCUAGAUUUUACAGCAGUUGAAAAUGGAUUUGUGAGUAUUAAUAUAUUUUUUUUCAACAAUAUAAUUAUAUCCUUGUUGCUGAUUUUUCUGUUUCUUCAUGGCAUGGACACUAUGGCAGGUUUCAGUGACUCCAUUUUCUUUAAGCAUUCAGCCAGACAUCCAAGGCUUGGUAACUAAUUGGAUUGCAGCUGCACUUGCCAGCGAACAAUAAAACACCUUCCUCCAGAAUUGUAAAGUAAUUAAGUUUGUGUUUCGUUGGUAGUGCAUGAUUAGUAUUACCUACCUAGUGUAUGCCGCUGUUAAACUUAAAUUCAGGCGACUCAAGCCAUGAAUUUUAAACAAAUUAUGAAGGAUUAAGAGUGUACUUCUGCUUUUGACGUAUGUGACUCUAAAUACUUUGUUUUGUGCAUUGGUCCUUGGCCUUCCAUCUAUUUCAUGAACCUUCUUAUGGUCUAGACACUAGUGGCCUUGCAAUUCUUUGUUUUCUCCCUCAAUUUGCACCCUGUUCUCAUAAG